rnacentral:rRNA from 1 species
UAGGGAAUCUUCGGCAAUGGGGGGAACCCUGACCGAGCAACGCCGCGUGAGUGAAGAAGGUUUUCGGAUCGUAAAGCUCUGUUGUUAAGGAAGAACGAGUGUGAGAAUGGAAAGUUCAUACUGUGACGGUACUUAACCAGAAAGGGACGGCUAACUACGUGCCAGCAGCCGCGGUAAUACGUAGGUCCCGAGCGUUGUCCGGAUUUAUUGGGCGUAAAGCGAGCGCAGGCGGUUAGAUAAGUCUGAAGUUAAAGGCAGUGGCUCAACCAUUGUAGGCUUUGGAAACUGUUUAACUUGAGUGCAGAAGGGGAGAGUGGAAUUCCAUGUGUAGCGGUGAAAUGCGUAGAUAUAUGGAGGAACACCGGUGGCGAAAGCGGCUCUCUGGUUUGUAACUGACGCUGAGGCUCGAAAGCGUGGGGAGCGAACAGG